AUUGAACGCUGGCGGCAGGCCUAACACAUGCAAGUCGAGCGGUAGAGAGAAGCUUGCUUCUCUUGAGAGCGGCGGACGGGUGAGUAAUGCCUAGGAAUCUGCCUGGUAGUGGGGGAUAACGCUCGGAAACGGACGCUAAUACCGCAUACGUCCUACGGGAGAAAGCAGGGGACCUUCGGGCCUUGUGCUAUCAGAUGAGCCUAGGUCGGAUUAGCUAGUUGGUGAGGUAAUGGCUCACCAAGGCGACGAUCCGUAACUGGUCUGAGAGGAUGAUCAGUCACACUGGAACUGAGACACGGUCCAGACUCCUACGGGAGGCAGCAGUGGGGAAUAUUGGACAAUGGGCGAAAGCCUGAUCCAGCCAUGCCGCGUGUGUGAAGAAGGUCUUCGGAUUGUAAAGCACUUUAAGUUGGGAGGAAGGGCAUUAACCUAAUACGUUAGUGUUUUGACGUUACCGACAGAAUAAGCACGGCUA
rnacentral:rRNA from 1 species